rnacentral:rRNA from 1 species
UACGUAGGGUGCAAGCGUUGUCCGGAAUUAUUGGGCGUAAAGAGCUCGUAGGCGGUCUGUCGCGUCUGCUGUGAAAACUCGGGGCUUAACCCCGGGCCUGCAGUGGGUACGGGCAGACUAGAGUGCGGUAGGGGAGACUGGAAUUCCUGGUGUAGCGGUGAAAUGCGCAGAUAUCAGGAGGAACACCGGUGGCGAAGGCGGAUCUCUGGGCCUUACCUGACGCUCAGGUGCGAAAGCUAGGGGAGCGAACAGG